rnacentral:rRNA from 1 species
UACGGAGGGAGCAAGCGUUGUUCGGAUUCAUUGGGCGUAAAGGGCAUGUAGGCGGCGCUGCCAGUCGGGUGUGAAAUCCCACUACUCAAUGGUGGAAUUGCAUUCGAAACUGCAGUGCUCGAGUUCAGGGGAAGAGAGUGGAAUUCUCGGUGUAGCGGUGAAAUGCGUAGAUAUCGAGAAGAACACCGGUGGCGUAAGCGGCUCUCUAUCCUGAAACUGACGCUGAGGUGCGAAAGCCAGGGGAGCGAACGGG